ACUGGGAGGGGAGAGAAAAGACCUUUAAACCUGUAAACUCUCCUAAAAGAGACACAGUACAACAAGACUCUCAAGUACUAAGUGCUUUGAGUGCAUAGCUUAUAUGACUUACUUAUUAUGCAGCAUCAUAGCAUGCAGCAUCUCAGCAUACACCACAGACUGAAGUAGCUGUGGUAUAAACACACGCACACAUAGAUAAAAGCCAUAAGAGUUGGUAUGCUGCUUAUUGGGCUCCAAAUAAUCUACACCACGGAAAUAAUUUGCAGUCCAGAAGAAGGGUAAAAUGACCUUUCAAACCUUUUCCCGCAGCCGGGUUCAAAGUAUAACAAACCCGUCAGUAAACACGCAAGCGACAAAAGCGGGCUUUACUCUCACCAGUAAUUCUGCCGAGCUUAACGUGCCACCCUUUGACCGCGGAUCCCGCGUAGCCGGCGGUGUGAGCCCCCAACGAAUGGCCAAUGAUGUGUGUCUUUGGUGGCCGCAGUCCAACUUCUUCCUGAAAUAAAUGAAUAUUAUGAUAAUGAAGUAAAAUCAAUCAAUCAAUCACUUUUUUUUAGAAUAAUUCACGAUUUUUUUAUGACAAUAAGACUGAAUUUUCUUUUUUCUAUCAAUUAUUCUUAUCAUUUGAUUGGUGGUGUUACAAACUUUUACAGUUCACAAUCCGUUUGCUUCUGUACUUUUGCACUUUGUAAACCAAUGUGGAUUUUUUAUGCAUUGAAAGCUCUUCUCUAUUUAUAUCUUUCUCUAGAAUUAUAGAUAAAAGUAAUUCUUGGGAAACAGAAAAUAGACGUUGCUCUUGCUGCGUGACGCGAAAAUUAAUUAAAGACCAGCACGCGACUGCAAAUUUUGCCGAAGAAUUAAUUAAUUUCUGCAAUUUACCAUCAGCUUGAUAAUCAUGAUUGCGACAGCUCGACCCACGAGUCGAAUGUUAGCCACAGCCUGUGCGUACGGCGGUCCUGAGCCUCCAUUCCAGUCCACAGCAAUCACAUUUGCGUCGAUCUUCUUCAGAAGUUCAUCGCUCAAUUUCUGCAGAUUGAAAAAUUUACAUUAUUUGCGUUUGGAUUUAAAAUUAGUGUGCGUUAAAAAUUAAUUUCAAGAUGUCUCUAAAUAUUUUAUAUUAUUGACUCCAAAAUAAAUUAUCUUUUUAAUCAGACAAAAUAUAAUAACCAUCGGAUCAUAUUUAAAAAAAAAAACUCCCAUACCUUAAUCCAUGUUUUAUUUCCUGAUUCAAGGUAUCCAUGAACAAUAAAGAAAGUCUGUCGAUUGUCUUUAAUAAAAGAAUUGAAGAACGUCGAUGUGUCGUUGGCCCGAAGUGGCUGCAAUUAGAGAAAAAAACUUGAUUUAAGCAAGCUACAUCAAAAUCAAAUUAAUUAAAUUUAUUUUCUUUAAAAGAGCCGUGGUUUAAGCACUGGUAAUCGAAUGUUUUUAACAUUUAAAAAUUUGCAAUACCUGACACUUGUCUCUGUUAUAUUUCGUGAAGAGGCAGAAGUUUGGAUUUAUUUUAUAAGGAUGCUCUGGGAAUAAGUUGACAGGCCGAUUCUUUGGCCAUGGCGAAUCUAUUGAAAAGCAUCCAUAGCCAGACUGCUCAUAGCAUUCUGAAAAGAAAAUUAUUAAUUGAACAAAAUCUAGUAUAAUUGGUACAAUAUAAAUUUUUUAACUGUGCCGUCCUUUUAAACCAAAUUGACCCCCUGCAAAAUCUGAGCAGGACAGAAACUGAAUUCCAACUCUAUUGGAUUGCUCGAAAUAGCUGAAAAGCUCAAACAUCUGGCAUAAAAAAAAAAUUAUAAAUUGUUUUAAUUAUUUAUAAAAACAACUUAUUAAGGUUCCACACAAUACUUUUGAAAAAAAACCAAAGAAAAAAAUAAUUUUAUAGCCA